rnacentral:rRNA from 1 species
UACGUAGGGGGCUAGCGUUGUCCGGAUUUAUUGGGCGUAAAGAGCGUGUAGGCGGCCAGGUAGGUCUGCUGUGAAAACUCGAGGCUCAACCUCGAGACGUCGGCGGAAACCAUCUGGCUAGAGUCCGGAAGAGGAGAGUGGAAUUCCUGGUGUAGCGGUGAAAUGCGCAGAUAUCAGGAGGAACACCUAUGGCGAAGGCAGCUCGCUGGGACGUUACUGACGCUGAGACGCGAAAGCGUGGGGAGCGAACAGG